GCCGGGGUGGCGGAAUGGCAGACGCACCGCGCUUAAAACGCGGAGAGGGCCCAAAAAUCCUCGUGUGGGUUCGACCCCCACCCCCGGCA
rnacentral:tRNA from 1 species